ACUCGUGAUCUGGUGAUUUAGCUGCUGUAAAAACGUUUGUCAAUUCGUCUCAAGUAAUAUAUACAACUGACCUAAAUAUCUUAGAACAAAGCAGCUAGAACUAUUUUUUUGUGUUUAGACACGAUUGAACAACUGUAAAAUAGCUAUCAGGUUUUUUUCCUUCUCACUGAAAAGCUAAAGAUGAAUAUGGUCAUAUACCACCAUUUGGAACUAGGGACCCACAUCACAGUUGAGCUUCAGAUGGUGAGCUUCUGUCAUGUGGUAAAGUUGCUAAUGCUAGCGGUUAGCUUCCACUAGGCAAGACGUUCUCUGCCGCUUCUUGGACGCUAAAUCAACAGCAGCCUUUCCUGCCAUAAAUCAAGAUGGGUGAGUCCAUGAAUGUUAAGUGACAGUGUGACGUAGAUCUGUCAGGAUUUUCUAAUCCUAGAGUUUCAAUGUUAUUUUCUAUCAUGCAGGAGAAUGGUGUAGAAGACUCUUUACAUGUUCAGCCUGUAUAAAAAACUCAAAGUGACUCAUUAUAUUUAGAAAUAAUCAUUAAAAAUGGGUUUUCAGUGUGUAAACCUUUAACUGAAACUAACUUAGCAAAUCUUACCACUGCUCCCUGUUCCAGAGUUGUGGCAUUAGCCAAUGUGCAGGUCUCCAGAUCAAAUCAAGUCAUACAGUUAACAGUGUAAACAUGCACAGCUAUUUUAGAACAUUGUUUGUUGAUUAUAAAAAAUAAACACAAAUUCUUAAUUUACUCAGUAAAUUUAGCCCUCUAAAUAAAGAAAGCAAAAUACAGUGUUAUAAGUGUCUAUGGUUGCAGUGUGGUGUUUAGCCAAAAUGUGUGACUGUAGCUGGAUUUAGCUUUUGCAAAAUUCAUAAAACCAGUAGUACUUGAAUGUUGUUUUUCAUAUAAAUGGUUUUUUCCCCCUUAUUAUUACAUUUUCACUUGACAUUAUGGGUUUCAGGGGCACAGAACUGAUGACAGAAUCUUCCUGGGGAUAUGUCCUGAUCUCAUUUCAAUGUUUACGAAGUUACUUAAUGGUUAUAAGUUUAUUAUUACUCAUGAGCAAUGACUUUGCUUUUAAUUUAAAUCAACUGGUGCAAACAUUUUAAAAUAAUGUUUACACUUUACAAAUCUGUUAUUAUUCUCAGUAAAAUAAAAUUACACUUGCAAUGUAAUCGAAGGAGAAUGAGGAAGAGUGGUGUUAUGAUCACUAGUCAUAAGAGGAAGUCCGUCUGAACUACUUCAUGUGUUCAUUGCAGUUUAUUUACAACCAAGUUAAAAUAAACCUUGUUGAAUUUCUUAAAUCUUCUGUAGAGAACCAGCGUUGCCAAAAAAAAGUCUAAUUAAAAAUGGUGCUGAUCCAGACAACUCUCUUCUAAACUGCAUGAUGGGAAAUUGGCGCUAAUGUAGCACUCUACACUCCAAGCACAUCCUAAUUUUUGUAUGUAUACCUCAGAUGUGCUUGUAUGAAGAAGCAGUACUCCUGUUUAUCUUCCAAUUAAAAUCAGUAAAACUAUUUUUAAAGUUAAAGAUAAUUAUACUUUUAAAGCUGCUAUGCCAGCAGAGCUUAGCUGAUAUUCUCACCACAAAUGUUCCCGACUAUAGGAAAUGGGUCAUUUUUGGAAUGGGUUAUUGAUAAACAUAUUGAUAAAAUCCAUGACAGCGUCAGUGUUUUGUUUUUAGGUCUGAUUCACACUUUUAUGACAGCAGAAGUUUAUUUUCUUCCUCUUCUCGAUAACUUUAGACUGUUUAAAAAUAAACAAAUGAGAUCAUAUCUCUCCUAAAACAGCGGAGUGAUGAAGACUUCUGACUUGAAGAAGCAGAAAAGAGAAUCUCCCCUGUGUAAGACAACACGAGUGACCUGUGUGCAGGAUGGGAGGGGGAACAUUAUUAGUAGUAAUAAAUAGGUGUGUUUGGCAGCCUGGCUGUUAAACGAGUGCCAACUUGGCUGACAGCACAGCCCCAACAUGACAGGAACAGUGUUUAAAGGGUCUCGCUGGCUCCAAACCCCAAAUAUAAUCCCGGCUCUCCAUUUAUUCCCACCGCCAAGCUGCAACAACAUGGGGCAUUUGUUAUUGCGUCUAUUAUUAGACUUCUGUGCAGUUAUUUAUAAGUGGACACAGCUGAUCAAAGCUGAUAGG